GGAGUGGUUCUGAGAGUCGCUGCCGCGCGAGCGGGAGAGGAAAGUCCGGGCUCCGCAGGGCAAGACGCUGGAUAACGUCCAGUUGGCGCAAGCCACAGGAAAGUGCAACAGAGAGCAGACCGCCCGGUUUCCGCACCGGGUAAGGGUGAAAGGGUGAGGCAAGAGCUCACCGGGCGGCAGGCGACUGCCGUGCCUGGCAAACCCCGUCUGGAGCAAGAUCGAAUAGGGAGGGACGAGGCUGCCCGCUGACCUCCGGGUACAGAUCGCUUGAGACGCGCAGCAAUGCGCGGUCCUAGAUAAAUGACUAUCCACGACAGAACCCGGCUUAUGAACCACUCCUUUU
rnacentral:RNase_P_RNA from 1 species